CACGCCGUAAACGAUGGAUGCUAGAUGUCGGGGGGUUGCCCUCGGUGUCGUAGUUAACGCGUUAAGCAUCCCGCCUGGGGAGUACGGUCGCAAGGCUGAAACUCAAAGAAAUUGACGGGGGCCCGCACAAGCGGUGGAGUAUGUGGUUUAAUUCGAUGCAACGCGAAGAACCUUACCGGGGUUUGACAUCCACGGAACCUUCUUGAAAGAGAGGGGUGCCCUUCGGGGAGCAGUGAGACAGGUGC
rnacentral:rRNA from 1 species